GGGUGUCCUUGUCCUCUCCUAGUCACCACUUGUGCAAACAGCAAAAGCUUAGAAAGUGCUGGGCCUAAAGGAGAUAACAUUUAUGAAUGGAGAUCAACUAUACUUGGUCCACCGGGUUCUGUAUAUGAAGGUGGUGUGUUUUUUCUGGAUAUCACAUUUUCAUCAGAUUAUCCAUUUAAGCCACCAAAGGUUACUUUCCGCACCAGAAUCUAUCACUGCAACAUCAACAGUCAGGGAGUCAUCUGUCUGGACAUCCUUAAAGACAACUGGAGUCCCGCUUUGACUAUUUCAAAGGUUUUGCUGUCUAUUUGUUCCCUUUUGACAGACUGCAACCCUGCGGAUCCUCUGGUUGGAAGCAUAGCCACUCAGUAUUUGACCAACAGAGCAGAACACGACAGGAUAGCCAGACAGUGGACCAAGAGAUACGCAACAUAAUUCACAUAAUUUGUAUGCAGUGUGAAGGAGCAGAAGGCAUCUUCUCACUGUGCUGCAAAUCUUUAUAGCCUUUACAAUACGGACUUCUGUGUAUAUGUUAUACUGAUUCUACUCUGCUUUUAUCCUUUGGAGCCUGGGAGACUCCCCAAAAAGGUAAAUGCUAUCAAGAGUAGAACUUUGUAGCUGUAGAUUAGUUAUGUUUAAAACGCCUACUUGCAAGUCUUGCUUCUUUGGGAUAUCAAAAUGUAUUUUGUGAUGUACUAAGGAUACUGGUCCUGAAGUCUACCAAAUAUUAUAGUGCAUUUUAGCCUAAUUCAUUAUCUGUAUGAAGUUAUAAAAGUAGCUGUAGAUGACUAGGAAUUAUGUCAUUUGUAUUAAACCCAGAUCUAUUUCUGAGUAUGUGGUUCAUGCUGUUGUGAAAAAUGUUUUACCUUUUACCUUUGUCAGUUUGUAAUGAGAGGAUUUCCUUUUACCCUUUGUAGCUCAGAGAGCACCUGAUGUAUCAUCUCAAACACAAUAAACAUGCUCCUGAAGGCAUA
rnacentral:lncRNA from 1 species